AUUGAACGCUGGCGGCAUGCCUUACACAUGCAAGUCGAACGGUAACAGGUCUUCGGAUGCUGACAAGUGGCGAACGGGUGAGUAAUACAUCGGAACGUGCCCAGUCGUGGGGGAUAACGAAGCGAAAGCUUUGCUAAUACCGCAUACGAUCUACGGAUGAAAGCGGGGGAUCGCACGACCUCGCGCGAUUGGAGCGGCCGAUGGCAGAUUAGGUAGUUGGUGGGGUAAAGGCUUACCAAGCCUACGAUCUGUAGCUGGUCUGAGAGGACGACCAGCCACACUGGGACUGAGACACGGCCCAGACUCCUACGGGAGGCAGCAGUGGGGAAUUUUGGACAAUGGGCGCAAGCCUGAUCCAGCAAUGCCGCGUGCAGGAUGAAGGCCUUCGGGUUGUAAACUGCUUUUGUACGGAACGAAAAGCUCUGGGUUAAUACCCUGGGGUCAUGACGGUACCGUAAGAAUAAGCACCGGCUAACUACGUGCCAGCAGCCGCCGUAA
rnacentral:rRNA from 1 species